CAAGUCAACUUGAAUUUGGGUUUUAACUUAGAUUUGGGUGGCGGACGGGUGAGUAACGCGUAAAGAACUUGCCUCACAGCUAGGGACAACAUUUAGAAAUGAAUGCUAAUACCUAAUAUUAUGAUAAUAGGGCAUCCUAUAAUUAUGAAAGCUAUAUGCGCUGUGAGAGAGCUUUGCGUCCCAUUAGCUAGUUGGAGAGGUAACGGCUCACCAAGGCGAUGAUGGGUAGCCGGCCUGAGAGGGUGAUCGGCCACAAGGGGACUGAGACACGGCCCUUACUCCUACGGGAGGCAGCAGUGGGGAAUAUUGGACAAUGGACCGAGAGUCUGAUCCAGCAAUUCUGUGUGCACGAUGAAGUUUUUCGGAAUGUAAAGUGCUUUCAGUUGGGAAGAAAAAAAUGACGGUACCAACAGAAGAAGUGACGGCUAAAUACGUGCCAGCAGCCGCGGUAAUACGUAUGUCACGAGCGUUAUCCGGAUUUAUUGGGCGUAAAGCGCGUCUAGGUGGUUAUGUAAGUCUGAUGUGAAAAUGCAGGGCUCAACUCUGUAUUGCGUUGGAAACUGUGUAACUAGAGUACUGGAGAGGUAAGCGGAACUACAAGUGUAGAGGUGAAAUUCGUAGAUAUUUGUAGGAAUGCCGAUGGGGAAGCCAGCUUACUGGACAGAUACUGACGCUGAAGCGCGAAAGCGUGGGUAGCAAACAGGAUUAGAUACCCUGGUAGUCCACGCCGUAAACGAUGAGUGCUAGGUGUUAGG
rnacentral:rRNA from 1 species